GUGGGGAAUAUUGGACAAUGGGCGAAAGCCUGAUCCAGCCAUGCCGCGUGUGUGAAGAAGGUCUUCGGAUUGUAAAGCACUUUAAGUUGGGAGGAAGGGCAGUAAGUUAAUACCUUGCUGUUUUGACGUUACCGACAGAAUAAGCACCGGCUAACUUCGUGCCAGCAGCCGCGGUAAUACGAAGGGUGCAAGCGUUAAUCGGAAUUACUGGGCGUAAAGCGCGCGUAGGUGGUUUUGUAAGUUGGAGGUGAAAUCCCCGGGCUCAACCUGGGAACUGCCUCCAAAACUGCAUGACUAGAGUACGGUAGAGGGUAGUGGAAUUUCCUGUGUAGCGGUGAAAUGCGUAGAUAUAGGAAGGAACACCAGUGGCGAAGGCGACUACCUGGACUAAUACUGACACUGAGGUGCGAAAGCGUGGGGAGCAAACAGGAUUAGAAACCCGAGUAGUCC
rnacentral:rRNA from 1 species